CAAUAGCGUAUAUUUAAGUUGUUGCAGUUAAAAAGCUCGUAGUCGGAUUUUGGCUGAGAACGAUCGGUCCGCCGUUAGGUGUGCACUGAUUGGUCUCAGCUUCCUGGUGAGGAGGUGUGCUUCACGGCCACUUAGUCACCGUGGUUACUUUGAAAAAAUUAGAGUGUUCAAAGCGGGCUUACGCUUGAAUAUAUUAGCAUGGAAUAACACCAUAGGACUCCUGUCCUAUUUCGUUGGUCACGGGACGGGAGUAAUGAUUAAGAGGAACAGUUGGGGGCAUUCGUAUUUCAUUGUCAGAGGUGAAAUUCUUGGAUUUAUGAAAGACGAACCUCUGCGAAAGCAUUUGCCAAGGAUGUUUUCAUUGA
rnacentral:rRNA from 1 species